rnacentral:snoRNA from 1 species
AGAUUUUGGUCUGUCAUCUGUCUUCAUUCAGAGCACCAUGAAGACAGGUUGGCUGUCUACUAGUGCCUUCUGAUUUUUGCGGAGUCAAACAAUU